UACGGUGAAUACGUUCCCGGACCUUGUACACACCGCCCGUCAAGCCAUGGAAGCCGGGUGUACCUAAAGUCGAUAACCGUAAGGAGUCGCCUAGGGUAAAACUGGUGACUGGGGCU
rnacentral:rRNA from 1 species